AUUGAACGCUGGCGGAAUGCUUUACACAUGCAAGUCGAACGGCAGCACGGACUUCGGUCUGGUGGCGAGUGGCGAACGGGUGAGUAAUACAUCGGAACGUGCCCAGUCGUGGGGGAUAACGUAGCGAAAGCUACGCUAAUACCGCAUACGAUCUAAGGAUGAAAGCGGGGGAUCGCAAGACCUCGCGCGAUUGGAGCGGCCGAUGGCAGAUUAGGUAGUUGGUGGGGUAAAGGCCUACCAAGCCGACGAUCUGUAGCUGGUCUGAGAGGACGACCAGCCACACUGGGACUGAGACACGGCCCAGACUCCUACGGGAGGCAGCAGUGGGGAAUUUUGGACAAUGGGCGCAAGCCUGAUCCAGCCAUUCCGCGUGCAGGAUGAAGGCCCUCGGGUUGUAAACUGCUUUUGUACGGAACGAAAAGGCUCUGGUUAAUACCCGGGGCUCAUGACGGUACCGUAAGAAUAAGCACCGGCUAACUACGUGCCAGCAGCCGCCGUAA
rnacentral:rRNA from 1 species